rnacentral:rRNA from 1 species
UACGUAGGGUGCGAGCGUUAAUCGGAAUUACUGGGCGUAAAGCGUGCGCAGGCGGUUCGUUAAGUUCGUUGUGAAAGCCCCGGGCUCAACCUGGGAAUGGCAAUGGAAACUGGCGAGCUUGAGUGUGGCAGAGGGGGGUGGAAUUCCGCGUGUAGCAGUGAAAUGCGUAGAGAUGUGGAGGAACACCGAUGGCGAAGGCAGCCCCCUGGGCCAACACUGACGCUCAGGCACGAAAGCGUGGGGAGCAAACAGG